rnacentral:rRNA from 1 species
UAAUACAUAGGGGGCAAGCGUUAUCCGGAAUUAUUGGGCGUAAAGAGUGCGUAGGCGGAUGAUUAAGUCUGGUGUAAAAUUCCACAGCUUAACUGUGGAGGGUCAUUGGAAACUGGUCAACUAGAGUACGGUAGAGGUAAGCGGAAUUCCAAGUGGAGCGGUAAAAUGCGUAGAUAUUUGGAGGAACACCAGUGGCGAAGGCGACUUACUGGGCCGGGACUGACGCUGAUGCACGAAAGCGUGGGGAGCAAACAGG